GAUGAACGCUGGCGGCGUGCCUAAUACAUGCAAGUCGAGCGAACAGACGAGGAGCUUGCUCCUCUGACGUUAGCGGCGGACGGGUGAGUAACACGUGGAUAACCUACCUAUAAGACUGGGAUAACUUCGGGAAACCGGAGCUAAUACCGGAUAAUAUAUUGAACCGCAUGGUUCAAUAGUGAAAGACGGUUUUGCUGUCACUUAUAGAUGGAUCCGCGCCGCAUUAGCUAGUUGGUAAGGUAACGGCUUACCAAGGCAACGAUGCGUAGCCGACCGGAGAGGGUGAUCGGCCACACUGGAACUGAGACACGGUCCAGACUCCUACGGGAGGCAGCAGUAGGGAAUCUUCCGCAAUGGGCGAAAGCUUGACGGAGCAACGCCGCGUGAGUGAUGAAGGUCUGCGGAUCGUAAAACUCUGUUAUUAGGGAAGAACAAAUGUGUAAGUAACUAUGCACGUCUUGACGGUACCUAAUCAGAAAGCCACGGCUAACUACGU
rnacentral:rRNA from 1 species